rnacentral:rRNA from 1 species
UUUGAACGUCAUGGAGCAUAUGAGAUGUUUCAGGAGUUGAAGUUAAUAUUUCAAGCAAAUGCCCGGAUUGAGAGAUAUGAAGUCUCCAAUAAGUUCUAUAGCUGUAAGAUGGAGGAGAAUAGUUCUAUCAGUGAACACAUACUCAAAAUGUCUGGGUAUAAUAAUCACUUGAUUCAACUGGGAGUUAAUCUUCCUGAUGAUAGUGUCAUUGACAGAAUUCUUCAAUCACUGCCACCAAGCUACAAGAGCUUCGUGAUGAACUAUAAUAUGCAAGGGAUGGACAAGACUAUUCCCGAGCUCUUCGCAAUGCAAAAGCCUGUGGAGGUAGAAAUCAAG